rnacentral:rRNA from 1 species
GUCCAGACUCCUACGGGAGGCAGCAGUGGGGGAUAUUGCACAAUGGGGGAAACCCUGAUGCAGCGACGCCGCGUGGGUGAAGAAGCGCCUCGGCGCGUAAAGCCCUUUCAGCAGGGAAGAAGAUGACGGUACCUGAAGAAGAAGCCCCGGCUAACUACGUGCCAGCAGCCGCGGUAAUACGUAGGGGGCAAGCGUUAUCCGGAUUUACUGGGUGUAAAGGGGGCGCAGACGGCGAUGCAAGCCAGGAGUGAAAGCCCGGGGCCCAACCCCGGGACUGCUCUUGGAACUGCGUGGCUAGAGUGCAGGAGGGGCAGGCGGAAUUCCUGGUGUAGCGGUGAAAUGCGUAGAUAUCAGGAGGAACACCGGUGGCGAAGGCGGCCUGCUGGACGAUGACUGACGCUGAGGCUCGAAAGCGUGGGGAGCAAACAGGAUUAGAUACCCUGGUAG